UCUCAGACACAUCCUGGACUUGCAGUUUGGUGCCCCCAGCUGCAAGGCACUUGUGGUUAAGUGUCUCCAGCUCCACUUCCCUGCUUGCACUUAUAUACCCACAAUUGCCUUUCAACGAACGAGACUUGAACAGGCUGUCUUGUCUCCAUUCUUCAAGUCUCUUGCCCCUCCAUCCCCACUCUCUCCCUUGCAGACCCCGUAGACCAACCCUCAGGCCAGGUCAACUGGUGCCAAAAGUGGGGCAGUGAGAGCAAGAGCCCCCCCACCCACCCAGGAACGUUACUGGAAGAAGGGUCGACAGAAAAUUCAAAAAUGAAACAAAGGGGAUCGCCUGGGAAUCUGCCGCGUCGAGACCAGUAAGUCAUAGUAACAAAAAUGGGGAGAAAUAAGUCAGCAUGAAUUAUAUGUGGAACAAACAAGAAAGGCUUUAAAGACUCCAGGAGUAAAGGAGGACAUAAUAACUGGUGGCCCGGAUGGGGAAAAGAAAAAUCUCGUAACAGUUGGAGGCCCGUACCAGGAGAAAGUAAAAGAAAAGUAACAGUUGGAGGCCAGGACGGAUGGGGAAGGAGAAACCUCUUGAGACUCAGAACCUUUUGCAGUCAGGGCAGCCGACUGGUAAGUUCCCAGGUAAGUGGGAUGAUAAGGACCUCGGAAGUAGAGGCUAUAAGGAUCUCAGGAGUAGAGACAAUAAAAUAAAAUCUCCGGGAAGGAGCAAUAAUGUUUCGCGGAGUAGCAAA